CCUACGGGUAGCAGCAGUGGGGAAUAUUUCACAAUGGGGGGAACCCUGAUGCAGCAACGCAGCGUGGGUGAAGAAGUACUUCGGUAUGUAAAGCCCUGUCAGCAGGGAAGAAAAUGACGGUACCUGACCAAGAAGCCCCGGCUAACUACGUGCCAGCAGCCGCGGUAAUAAGUAGGUGGCAAGCGUUAUCCGGAUUUACUGGGUGUAAAGGGAGCGUAGACGGCAAGGCAAGUCUGGAGUGAAAGCCCGUGGCUCAACCACGGGACUGCUUUGGAAACUGUGUUGCUGGAGUGCAGGAGGGGUAAGCGGAAUUCCUAGUGUAGCGGUGAAAUGCGUAGAUAUUAGGAGGAACAACGGUGGCGAAGGCGGCUUACUGGACUGUAACUGACGUUGAGGCUCGAAGGCGUGGGGAGCAAACAGGAUUAGAUACCCCUGUAGUC
rnacentral:rRNA from 1 species